AGAGAUCAGCGGCAGUGGCGUCGAGGGAGACCGGCGGUGGCGUCGAGACUCGAGGGUGACCGGCGGUGGCGCCGAGCAGAGAUGGAGAACAAAUGGGCAAAGAGGUCAGCCGCGGUGCUGUCGAGGGUGAGCGAAGGUGGCCUCGACCCUCGAGCAGAGAUCAGCGGCAGUGGCGUCGAGGGCGACCGGCGGUGGCGUCGAGACUCGAGGGCGACCGGCGGUGGCGUCGAGCAAAGAUGGAGAAC
rnacentral:lncRNA from 1 species